UACGGAGGGUGCAAGCGUUAGUCGGAAUUACUGGGCGUAAAGGGUGCGUAGGCGGGGAUGUAAGUCAUGUGUGAAAUACUGAAGCUCAACUUCAGCUGUGCACAUGAAACUGCGUUUCUAGAGGAAGAGCGGAGAAAACGGAAUUCCACGUGUAGCGGUGAAAUGCGUAGAUAUGUGGAGGAACACCGGUGGCGAAGGCGGCAUUCUGGACCGACAUUGACGCUGAGGAGCGAAAGCCAGGGGAGCAAACGGG
rnacentral:rRNA from 1 species